GUUUGGUGGUGAGGACAAGUGGAACACAACUUAUUGAAUCUCUCCUAGUAUUUAUACAAUGUCUCACCAUGUUGUUGUCUUAUACCACAAAUCUCUUUUUUGAUUGC
rfam:Cajanus cajan CcLG10_1072, whole genome shotgun sequence.